UGUCCCCACCCGUCAAAGGCCCAGCCAAAUUCCCUCCCUUCUAAUUCACCCGCGGAGGGACGCCGCUAAAAGCCACAACCCACCCCGCAUUUUCUUCAUAGAUAGAUUCAUCUGGUUCUCUUCUUCCCCAGAUUGCAGCGACCGGCGAUGGCACUUUUGGGGAGGUCGCCCUGCGCCCAGGCCGUGCUCGGGCCUCGGAUCUAGCGUAACAACAUGCCCCGCGAGCACCCCUCUUCUCCCAGAUUGCAGCCACCGGCGACGGCAGAUUGGAGCAGGCCGCCACACCGGCCGAGAUGGGAUCCACCGCACCGACCCUCCCUGUGAGAACCCGACCCUCUUGUCUCCCCAAUUGAAGUGACCAGCAACGACUCUCUAGGUAAUUUCCUCAUUCCGCCCUCCCCAUCCUGCCAGCCCCUAAUGUUCAAAGAAUAGGGUUCAUGCAUAGUACUCCUCAUCCCGGCCCAUCUCGGUAAUUAGGAUUUUUCAAAGUUUGUAAUCUGCAAUGAUUAGGCUUCGUUCAUACUGUACAUUUGAUCUGUUGUUUAACUUAACUGUGGAUGCACCAUAUUUUCAUGGAUUUUAUUCAGGGCCGCACCAGAGAAAUCAGAGUCCAUGUAAAUCAAAAUUAGGCCCUACGUGUGAAAAAGCAAAUAAUUCUUUUGCAGUCGCUGCAGUUUUUUGACAAAAGAUUACACAGGUUCAGAAAAGACCAGCAAAUAGUAAGUGAGAGAGAGGGCAGAUAUAAAGCGCUGAGAGGAUUUGAUGCAUUGUGAUUAGAGAGAGAUACAGUGGUUGGGUUGGCAAAACAUAUUUUCAUCAGUUCUUUACUUUACUAUAUAAUGCUUAAUUGAGAACUUUGAUUAAAAAGAAUUUGGGGCCCUCCGGUUCUGGAGGCCCUGUUUGGCUUUGCAACAGUGAAAAAUAUGCGUAGAGCAUUCAUAUAUAUAGCACAGUGCAUUCUGCUUUUGCAACAGAGCCUCAAAAGCAUCAUACAGCAAUGUCUUGGCCAUCUCAAAUUUUCUACAAGUAUAUUACAUAAGUACAGAGAAGCAUCAAGUCCAGGAUUUAGUAUAAUGGAACACAAGAUGGCUUAUAUUUAGUACAAUGGUAUUUUAUUUGGAUGUACAGUGCAACUGCCAGGCUUCAAAAAUUGCUGGCAUACAAGUCCUAAAUUGUGUUUUUGUAAGAUUCAGGUAUCUACCAAAAGGCAUCUUUUGUAGUUUAAUUAAGUCGUACUUCUGAUUUGGACUUGAAACUUCAAUUUUCAGAUUGAAGGAGGCCGCCGCACCGCCGAUCUUGGAUCCACCGCAUCAACCUGACUCGAGCACCCGGCUUUCUUCUCCCCUGCAAUGGGCAAUGUCUCUCAGUGAUUUACUCAUCCUGCCCUCCUCAUGUCGCCACCGCUUGAUGUUCAGUGAUUCGGCUUCAUGCAUACUACUCGUCAUCCUGCUCUUCUAUGUAAUUUAGGAUUUGCCACAACUUGCUAUGGUAAAAAGCUUGAACCUCUUGCCAAUUAACUUUUGAUAUCCUAUUGAUAUGUGUGUAAAACUGCACUAGUGAACAUGGUUUUGCAUUUGUUAUAGCCUGCUAUUGUAAAAAGGCCUGAACCUGAAUAUAUGCUACUGCAGUAUAGUUAGCCGUUGUGCAAAAGUUCAGUUAGCUAUCAGAUGCAUGGCCUUAGCUGAGAGAUUUCUUUUGCAGCCAUGUGCUUGUAUGGCUACUCUCGCAUACAAAAGGAAACUAUAUGUUGACCAUCUGAUUGUUGAACCCUGCUGUAAUGACAAAAACUAGAUCCUCUUGAUCGCUGAAUGGUGUCAUAAUCAGAUGAACAUAAACACAUGAACUAAAGUAUGCAUGUACAAGCAGGAAGCAGCGCAUCCUUGUAUCAUUGCAUCCUUGUAUCUACAUGUCCGAAUAAACAGCUUCUGGAUGCAACUACUAUAUGUAUGCUAAAACCUGAAACUUAUGGUUCUGCUGUCCCAUAAAUAGUACUUCAAUAGUGUUGUUAAAACUGAAUAAAGACUGAGCUUGCACUUAAUUUUGACUUGCUACAGAGAUGUAUAGCCCUGCACCAGUGUACUUUUCUCUCCACUACUAGAUAAAAGAGAACUAAAAUUAAUCUUUUCCAUGCCUCUCCUAAUUGAUUAGCUACCCAUGAUGUUAAGCAUCUAAAGCCCACAAGCAUUUUCAGUACGCCUAGAAAUUGAUACAAGCAGAUACAUGGUAAACUUCAGUUUUUGACUAUAUUAUGACAUACUAAACUGGGUAAAUCAAUAUGUUCCUAAUUUUGGAUGAGUAUAGUAAAUUUUCUGGUUUUCUGAACUAUGCCAGCAGCUACAGUAAUCAUAUUUUAUUGAUGUUUUUAUUCUGAACAUUCUGAUCUUGUUUUUCAUGGUUUGUUGUCUGCUUCUCCCUGACUGUGCCCCAGCUGCAUCAUGCAUGUUGAUUGCUUCACAUGUUAGAUCCCAAUGAAUGAAAUCUUCAUUUUCUAUUUAUAUAAUCUGACAUGAACUGCUUGUUGGCAGUGCUGCCUGUUUACGUCUAUUUUACGCAAUCUAGUUCUUUUUGUCUACGACCAAUGCGAAGCCAAAUUUUAACAGGUAAGUCAAUGUAAUCAGUUGUGUUACAAGUACUCCAUCCAUAUGCUUACCCAUAGUGCAAGAAAGAGUAAAUGCUUUUCAUUAAUUUCACUUUAACUAUUACUUAUAUAUAAUAUUAGUGCAUCAUGUGUUUGCAUCCUAACUUAUCUACUUUAUUAUAUUCAGAUGUAAGCUACAGAAAAGUACAUUUGCACAUAUAAAAUGGCUGCAUCUUUUAAGUUACUAAAAUAAUGCCACCAAGCGAGAGCAUGUGAAGAGACGCAUAGUAAGCAACACGAAGAAUUGGAAGCUGUGAAGAAGAGCGAGUAAGAGAAGAAUGAAGCAUGGCAAAAGAAGCAACAUGAGAUGGAUAACCUCAUUGGUUUUCUCUUAAGGGUUCAAGCAAGUCAGCAAGCAACUCAACGGUCCUAGUACAAACCAGAAGGUGCAUGAAGGCCAUCCUUUUGUGAUGGAAAUAGUUGUUGAAUCAUACAUUGCAAUCAUCAUGACAACACAUGUUGUUUUUAUUUAUCUAAAUAUUUCUUUUCAACUUGACUAUUGUUGUGUCAAACUCGUGAGUUGGUGUUAUUUUGUAUUGUCAUUUUCGCUUAGAGGACAAUUAGGCUGAGAGAUUGAAUAUAUAGUAUGAUUUCUCUUCCAUUUUA